rnacentral:rRNA from 1 species
UGGGGAAUAUUGGACAAUGGGCGCAAGCCUGAUCCAGCCAUGCCGCGUGUGUGAAGAAGGCCUUUUGGUUGUAAAGCACUUUAAGCGAGGAGGAGGCUACUUGGAUUAAUACUCUAGGAUAGUGGACGGUACUCGCAGAAUAAGCACCGGCUAACUCUGUGCCAGCAGCCGCGGUAAUACAGAGGGUGCGAGCGUUAAUCGGAUUUACUGGGCGUAAAGCGUGCGUAGGCGGCUUCUUAAGUCGGAUGUGAAAUCCCUGAGCUUAACUUAGGAAUUGCAUUCGAUACUGGGAAGCUAGAGCAUGGGAGAGGAUGGUAGAAUUCCAGGUGUAGCGGUGAAAUGCGUAGAGAUCUGGAGGAAUACCGAUGGCGAAGGCAGCCAUCUGGCCUAAUACUGACGCUGAGGUACGAAAGCAUGGGGAGCAAACAGG